CCUACGGGGGGCAGCAGUGGGGAAUAUUGGACAAUGGGCGAAAGCCUGAUCCAGCCAUGCCGCGUGUGUGAAGAAGGUCUUCGGAUUGUAAAGCACUUUAAGUUGGGAGGAAGGGUUGUAGAUUAAUACUCUGCAAUUUUGACGUUACCGACAGAAUAAGCACCGGCUAACUCUGUGCCAGCAGCCGCGGUAAUACAGAGGGUGCAAGCGUUAAUCGGAAUUACUGGGCGUAAAGCGCGCGUAGGUGGUUAGUUAAGUUGGAUGUGAAAUCCCCGGGCUCAACCUGGGAACUGCAUUCAAAACUGACUGACUAGAGUAUGGUAGAGGGUGGUGGAAUUUCCUGUGUAGCGGUGAAAUGCGUAGAUAUAGGAAGGAACACCAGUGGCGAAGGCGACCACCUGGACUGAUACUGACACUGAGGUGCGAAAGCGUGGGGAGCAAACAGGAUUAGAUACCCCGGUAGUC
rnacentral:rRNA from 1 species